rnacentral:snRNA from 1 species
AGAUGUGUGUACAAUCUGGUUGUGACAUCUGUCACCCUGUGAAGUGCCAGAGUUGAUUCAGCUGAUCUAGCUGGCCAAGCGGGUGUCCCUUUCCUGCCUCAUGGCUCCCUGUGUGUCCCUCCCGAUACUGUGUGGCCUGCCCUGAUGGAGGAGAACCAUCCUCUAGUGAAGGGUACACGAGGAACUGUGCUCCCCUGCUAGAACCUCCAGCAAGCAUUCAAGAUCACAAGUUGUAUGGUUGCACUGGCAGGAAAUCUGCAGGGAAGAUCAGCCGCACAGGCAGCAGAGCAACAGUGGGCAACAGUGGCCAGGGGCU